ensembl:lncRNA
CUUGGCAGAUACACAUCAGGGUGCAUGAACAUGAAUGUCUGGAAUAAAAUAAUGUGGAUGCAAGCGCGCACUUAAUACGAACACGCCAGCAGGUCAGAAGACCUCAAAUCUUGCAGAAAGAACUGAAACCUACCAAAAACAAACUGAGAAAAUGAGGGAAAUGCACAGGUAACGAAAAGCGAAAGAGGGAAGCAAGCAGCACUUUGUACGUGGUGGAGAGACAUGUAGUGAAACUAAUGAUGGUUUGGACGCCAAGACGGUUCACACAGAAGUACACCCGAAGAGAAAAGUGAAGGGGAACAUAGUAAAUUACUAAAACAUUAUACUGUUUAAUUUGAAGUCCACAGGAUUAAAGCAAUGCAUCAUUUUCUCAUGAUUAUUUUCACUGUCAUCCGUGCUUAAGUCAUUCUGUAAAAGCCUUUCUAAGAGAUAAAGGCCUGAAGCUUGUGCUUUUCUGUCCACACUGGAAUGUUUUAAGUUUACCUGAACAGUGGUCUCAGCUUGGAUCUUUUUUUAAAUCAAAUUCCAUGUCAGUCUAUAACGCCAGCUUAGUUUUUUGGAACAAGAAGUUACCAUCCUUGGGCAAGAAGGUAAGACUGGCAGGCUUGGCUAGCACCAUGCACAAACACACAUAUCUGCCAAUUAGUUCUGCAUCACAAAACGAUUGAUUCCACUUACCUAAACCAAAACUUCUUAGAUGGGGGGCAGAACUUGUUUCUCUGUGGAGUUUACAUGUUCUCUCUGUUCCUGUGUUGGUUUCUCCCACAGUUCAAAAACAUGGCUAAAAUAACUGGUGUAUCUAAAAAGGCCAUGGAUGUAAGGUGGACACAUUUUUUUAAGUGUAAAGAAUAAAGUGCUGCAUGAAUGUAUAGUUAAAGUGUGACUUGUAGUUAAAAGCUCUUUGAGUGGUCUGGAAGACUAGAAAAUAAAUGUGAUUAUAUUAUAUUACCUUUGCAUCAACAAACACCAGAAGCAUUACAGAAUAAUCUAAAAGGAAACAAAUUACAGUCAUUUUCUUCUGAGCUUACUGAGAGCAGAACUCAGAGUGGUUGAGGGAGGUCAUAAUAUUAGAGUGGGAAAUGUAUUUACAAGUUCCACACAUGCAAGAUGUCCUGUUACUGCGUUGAGUGCACAGAUUUACUCGCAAUAAGCAAUUUUUGUUCAUUAUUGAUAGUUGUGAGGAUUUUUGCAAUCAGCGAGCAUAGAGUUAAAUUAUUA